CAGAGUAGUUGAAUGCAGUGCUACAGCUGGGAUUUUAAGAGAGGCAGUCAGGUGCAAUUUCAGAGCUCUGCCAUGGCAUAUGUUCCAAAGGCUUGCCUGGAGAGAAGCUUCUGAUCUUUGCAGUAAUGGAUGAACUUCUUAAAACACAAAUGAAUAAAGAAUGCACAAGAAGACAGGGGAAAGAUGGGAGCAGUGAAAUUACACAUCCUUUCAACACUUUAUUGAAGGAAAUUGAUGAGAUGAAGGAAGUACGGGAUUUCUUGAGACGUUGAAACAGAGAGCUGGAGAGGGUGAAAUGGGAACAACUGUAAGUACAGGUAUAGAACUCAGUUCCCCUGGAGGGAGGAAUUGGCUAAAAUAGGAAGAAAAAAAUACCAUACAAAAAAAGAAACACAGCAAAAACACAAAGGGUGGAGAACAUUGGCCUGAUCGUGGAAACAUCCUGAAAGAGAAACAUGAAGGAGGGAAAGUAAAUGUUAGGCUAAAGUGGAGCUGGAAUUCAGCAAAACUAAUGAUGUGGAAGACUAGCAAAAACAAUUAGGGAA